CGGUAGGGCCACGCUAUAAAAAAUGCAAGUCGAGCGGAUGAAGGGAGCUUGCUCCUGGAUUCAGCGGCGGACGGGUGACUCUUGCCUAGGAAUCUGCCUGGUAGUGGGGGAUACGUCCGGAAACGGGCGCUAAUACCGCAUACGUCCUGAGGGAGAAAGUGGGGGAUCUUCGGACCUCACGCUAUCAGAUGAGCCUAGGUCGGAUUACCUAGUUGGUGGGGUAAAGGCCUACCAAGGCGACGACCCGUAACUGGUCUGAGAGGAUGAUCGGUCCACUGGAACUGAGACCGGUC
rnacentral:rRNA from 1 species